AGAGCACGCCAUACACACACAUAUCUACGCACGCGCGCGCGCCUUUCUCUGCGUGUUUGUGUGUGUGUGUGUGUGUGUGUGUGUGUGUGCGUGUGUCCGCAGUACAUGGCGGGCGGACGCUAAACACACAAGAACACGCGCAUACAUAACGCCGCGCAGGAGGUUGUGCCCUCCCCCCCCACCCACCGACCCCGUCCCUCCCGCCUGCCACCUCACUGGACACGCGCACACAUGACGCGCACUCCAUCAUCACUUGCACCCCUCCCUCUCUCCUCCUUCAAGCAGCUCUCGAUGAACGCACCGGUACAGGAACGCAGUGGCACCAGCAGCAGUAACGCGCCACCUGCGCACAAGAAGCAGCGCCAUGAAGGUGGGUGUAGUGGCAAGGUCCUUGACGACCGUGACGCGGAUAGUGUGCGUGUCUGGGGUGUCCUCGUCGCGCAGAACCUGCCGUCGAGAGAAAACGGGCUGCUGGCACACGCGCCGCGUUGUCGCUGCCCUGUGGAAGGGGCAGACGCGCCGGGGAAAGAGUCAGUGACGAAGCUGAUAGCCUCAUCGUCCCUGCGUGAGCCUGAAGAGGACUGGUUGUGGCGGCACGUUCCACCAGCUCUGCGGCAGUUCUACUUUCCGGCGUGCUCCCACAGCGGCAGCACGUACCCUUGCGCACCAGCGUCCGCAGAAUGUUCUGAGAAGUGUUGGGCGGCCUCGCUGCAGCAGGAGGGAGAUAAGUCUCACCCCUCGCCAUCACCUCGCCUUCUCCUGCCCCUGUGUGGCACUCGCAGCAACAACGGCGCUGUCCGUCUCGGUCGCCUCGCCAGCAACGACAUCGUCUUCGCCACGAAUCCGUGUGUCAGCAAUGUGCACUGCACUAUCGCCUACCAACCGGGAAGUGAUCCUCGUCGCGGUGACGCUGCGGCGGCGGCUACAGUGGCGGCGGAAGACAAGGAGGCACAGAGGGCGGCCUACGAGGCGGCCGGCGCCGUGGCCAAGGUCGUGGCUCCGCUUCAUCGCAGUCCUCAACCCGCAACGGAUGCGCCAGCUGCGCCGCAUCCACGCGGCGAUGCAACCGGCCGCAACGCCGCUCGCAUUAUGCUCUCUGACUACAGCACAAACGGAUGCAUCGUCAACGGCCAGAAGGUGGGCAAAGGCCGCUCGGCGCGUCUGCGCGACGGUGACGUGGUGGAGCUCAUCAACGCCGGCCCUCGGCGCACGACGGACUACAACCUCUCGUUUCUCUUCCUCACGGCGGAGGCGUUUGUGCGUUGGGUGGCAGAGCAGCUGCAUCAGGCGAGCACGACACAAGGCGCUGAUGAGGACAUCGCCUUGGCGGAGAAGGAGCAGCAGCAACGUCAGGCACUGCAGACAGCUGCGCGACGGCGUGCGCUGCUGUGCAGAGCGCAGUGGAACGUCGAGGCGCAGGUGCGGCGCAUGUACGGUCACAGCGUUGACGAGUACUACUCCCUUGAUCGGGCACAUCCGCUGGGCCAGGGAACGUUCGGCACCGUGUACCGCGCCGCCUUGCGCGCAGAGGCGUCAGCCUCAUCGCAGUCGCCGUCCCUCCUCGACGCUGGUGGUGGUGUCGCGGCUGGUGUGCCCUCAAGUUGGGAGUACGUCUUCAGCGGCGACGGCGUGGGUGAGUGGACGGCGAACCCGGCAGAGGCGGCUGAGCUACGGGAAGCCUACAUACGGGGGAAGGAGCGACGGGCGCCAGCCUCGGUGCUGCAUGUGUCUGCGUCGGCGGCCUCGACGACAGCAGCGGAGGCGGACGCAAUCACCACAGAUGAUGCUGCGCCACAGGUGUUCGCUGUCAAGAUCAUCCGCAAGCAGCGCAUGUUGUUUGAAGCUCUUCGGCAGCAGCAGCAGCAGCAGCAUGUCGAGGAAGGCGAAGGCGGUACGGAUCGAGCACCUGUGUCAUGCAUCCGCAACGCUGCCACCGUUGCCACCCCUGGUACUGCGGGGGCAGUGCCAGGGACGAUAUCGGCCGCAGAUGCCGCCGUGAUUGAGCAGCUGUUGCUCAUGGAGACGCAGCCGGACGAUCUGGCCGCGCAGAGACGGAAGGAGUGGACAGCAGGUGUGCUCGCCAGUCUUCAGCUUGCCGACUUAGCGCCCGCUGCCCUGACGCCGUCCUCCUCGCUCAGCGCACUUCGGAAGUCGCAGCACAAGCCGCGAGACGACGACGACUCGAGUGAUGACGGGGACGCACAGCCACUGUCGCAGCAAGAUCGUGAGCAACGCCGUCGAGAGCUGAUCCGCUGCCUCCCCGAGGCACUCCGCCGCACAUAUGAGAGAGAGUUGCAGCACCGCCGCCGUCAGCAGCGCGAGAUCAACAUUCUCCUCGCCGUGCGUCACCGCAACGUCACCGCACUGUACGAGGUGUUUGACCAGCCAGACCACCUGGCACUGGUGAUGGAGCAGGCGACUGGAGGGGAAGUGUGGGACCUGCUGCAGAUCUACAAGCGACGUGAGCGCGGGGGGAAAACAGGUGCUCGUAAGAGCGAGCGUGGCGCGAACAACCAUCGUAACGCCGGUGCGCAACGGCUUGGCGACGGCAAGAGCAACUCGACAACGGCAGCGGCGACUGCAGCUACGUGCGACGACGACGACGACGUUGAGCUCGUCUCGGUCGGCGGUCCGCUGCCGGAGUUCAUUGUGAAGAUCAUUAUCGUUCAAGUGAUUGAGGCAGUGUUGUACCUGCAUACGAUGGGCAUCAUCCACCGUGACUUGAAGCUCGAAAAUUUGAUGCUGCAGCGCCCCUGCGACCGCUACGCGCUCAACGCGCUGCAGCUGCAGACGUUGGUUCAUCAGCUCCGCGCCUACUCUCACUCGCACCAUGCAAGCGACGCGUCCACAUCCGCCGCGACGACGUGUGAGGACGACAGUGAGGCGGUGGAGUUCACAAAUCCGCUGUCGGUGCUUUACACGGUGCACGUACCGCGGCACAUGUGGCCGGUCGUCAAGAUCAUGGAUUUCGGUCUCUCGCAUGUGCUCGACCACCUGCAGACACAUCCGUUCGACUCCGCAGGGGCGCUGCACGGCUUCGCCGGGACGCUCUCGCAGAUGUCACAGGGCGUUGAAGGCAGGUCUGCUGCAGCGGCAUCAGCAGCCACGGAGGCGGUGCCGGAGCGGGUGAAGCUGAUCUAUUCCCGCAACGACGCAACGACGAGCUGCGGCACCCCUAUCUACGCAGCCCCUGAGGUCACCAACCCGGCCUUGCGCCCGGACAAGAUGGGGUACGGUGCAGCAGUCGACAUGUACUCCGUCGGCGUCAUCGCGUACGCGCUGCUGACGGGGCGGGCACCGUUUCCGUCAGCGAAAAACCCGCGGCGGCCGGGUGGCCCACCUGUGGUGAACUAUGACGCCCCCCUGCGCUUCCAGCGGCACCGGCGCCGCCCAGCAGUGCCGAAAGGCGCCACCGGCCCCCCAGCCAGUGCUGGGCCGCUCCCAACGUCACGGCCGUCCAGCUCUGCGGCACGCCCUCCUUCUGAAGUCGCGUGUCUACCUCCGCUGUCAGUGGUAGAGUCGGUGCGCGUGGUGCUGCCGAAAGAACGUGCCGAGACGUCAGCUGCGUUCUCCGCCGCCUCGGAGCAGACUCGGCAGUGGCACCGGCGCGCCGAGGCGGUGGCGGCGUCUGUGCGGUGUGCGGAGCAGAAGCGUGCCCUUGCUGAGGGCAGCGAUGGCGGCAGCAGCGCGACGCCGGCUGACACGCUCUUUGCCACCACCGUGGAGCAGCUCUGCGCAUCACUCACCGCGUACGCCGACAUGUGUGCGUCGGGUGGGCUGGAGGUGGACCUCGAUCGCCUCGUGUACGUCUCCGCGGACGCUGCCGCGACCGGUGUGCAGGCAAAUGCGUCCGUCGGUCGCGUGAUGGCGCCUGAUGGGCACGUCGCCGAUGUGUUGCUACCCCCCAUCUCGGCGCUCGGCACCUCGUUCCUUCGCGGGCUUCUGGAGAAGUACCCUUCUCGGCGGCUGACGGCUUACGAGGCAUUGCGGCAUCCGUGGUUGCGCGAGUGCGUGUGAUACCCUGAGGCGAUGAGUCUGACGAGCCCGUCAUCAUCCGCUGGUGGGUUGAUCUCCAAGUGUGUGUUGCUGCGCCCGUGGAAGAUUGUCUUCAUGACGCGUUGGAACGCACGAUCGCGCUGUUCCCACCACCACCACCACCACCGCUGAAGCCCGAGUAAGGAUGGAGAGGAUCCGCCGUGCUGAGGUUCUGCGCCCGUGCCUGACGCUUCGCCACAGCGUCACACAGC
rnacentral:misc_RNA from 1 species